UACGUGAGGGGGCAAGCGUUGUCCGGAUUUAUUGGGCGUAAAGGAGCGUGUAGGCGGCCACACAGGUCAGCUAUGAAAACUCGAGGCUCAACCUCGAGACGUCGGUUGAAACCGUAUGGCUAGAGUCCGGAAGAGGAGAGUGGAAUUCCCGGUGUAGCGGUGAAAUGCGCAGAUAUCGGGAAGAACACCCGUGGCGAAGGCGAUCAUCUGGGGUUGUUCGUGACGCUGAGGAGCGAAAGCUAGGGGAGCAAACGGG
rnacentral:rRNA from 1 species